AGUGAACGCUGGCGGUAGGCCUAACACAUGCAAGUCGAACGGCAGCACAGUAAGAGCUUGCUCUUACGGGUGGCGAGUGGCGGACGGGUGAGGAAUACAUCGGAAUCUACUUUUUCGUGGGGGAUAACGUAGGGAAACUUACGCUAAUACCGCAUACGACCUACGGGUGAAAGCAGGGGAUCUUCGGACCUUGCGCGAUUGAAUGAGCCGAUGUCGGAUUAGCUAGUUGGCGGGGUAAAGGCCCACCAAGGCGACGAUCCGUAGCUGGUCUGAGAGGAUGAUCAGCCACACUGGAACUGAGACACGGUCCAGACUCCUACGGGAGGCAGCAGUGGGGAAUAUUGGACAAUGGGCGCAAGCCUGAUCCAGCCAUACUGCGUGGGUGAAGAAGGCCUUCGGGUUGUAAAGCCCUUUUGUUGGGAAAGAAAAGCGGCAGGUUAAUACCCCGCUGUUCUGACGGUACCCAAAGAAUAAGCACCGGCUAACUUCGUG
rnacentral:rRNA from 1 species